CUCAGUUCGGAUUGCAGGCUGCAACUCGCCUGCAUGAAGUCGGAAUUGCUAGUAAUCGCGGAUCAGCAUGCCGCGGUGAAUACGUUCCCGGGCCUUGUACACACCGCCCGUCACACCAUGAGAGCCGGUAACACCCGAAGUCAGUAGUCUAACCGCAAGGGGGACGCUGCCGAAGGUGGGGCUGGUGAUUGGGGUGAAGUCGUAACAAGGUACC
rnacentral:rRNA from 1 species